GAUGAAGAACGCAGUGAAAUGCGAUACGUAAUGUGAAUUGCAGAAUUCAGUGAAUCAUCGAGUCUUUGAACGCACAUUGCGCCCCCUGGUAUUCCGGGGGGCAUGCCUGUUCGAGCGUCAUUUCAACCCUCAAGCUCUGCUUGGUAUUGAGUCCAUGUCAGCAAUGGCAGGCUCCAAAAUCAGUGGCGGCGCCGCUGGGUCCUGAACGUAGUAAUAUCUCUCGUUACAGGUGCUCGGCGUGCUUCUGCCAAAACCCCAAUUUUUCUAUGGUUGACCUCGGAUCAGGUAGGGAUACCCGCUGAACUUAAGCAUAUCAAUAAGCGGAGGA
rnacentral:misc_RNA from 1 species